rnacentral:lncRNA from 1 species
GUUCCGAGUACUUCUUGAAACCGCUAUGUCUGUAUUGCUGUUGAAGGAGGACAUUUGAAGCAUGAAAAGUGCUCAGAGUUUUUUCGAGCAUAUCCUCCUCAGAUAUAUUUUCCCCACAUAGCCUCAUUAAUGAGGUAAUUCUGUGCAUAGCAGAGUUAUACUCGGACACUGACUUGAAAUCUUGAAAUCUCAAGUGAGUCCAUUCGUAUCUAGCUCUUGGGAGAGUCACCAUCCUCUGGUGAUCGUAUCUUUCACCUAGAGCUUUCCAUAGAACCAACGGUUCAUCAACCACCACAUAUUCGCUCUUCAGCGCUUCAUGGAUGUGGCGGCGAAGAAAGAUCAUGGCCUUCGCAUUCUCUUCAGGCGAAGCAUCAUUCUCAUCUACAAUUGUUUGUCCGAGGCCAUUGGCUCGUAGAUGAAUUUUGGCAUCCAGGACCCAUGAUAAAUAGUUGUCCCCGGAAAGGUCCAAGGCAGCAAACUCUAGUUUUGCCAAAUUUGCCAUCCGAAACUUUAGGCUCGGGAUCUGGGACAUUAAGCCACUUAUUAAUAGGAAUUUCAGGCCCUCAUUAUUCAGGUAUAUUAAUUGAUGAUAAAAAUAAAGUGCUAUGAAUUUGCUGGUAU